rnacentral:rRNA from 1 species
GAUGAACGCUAGCGGGAGGCCUAACACAUGCAAGCCGAGCGGUAUUGUUUCUUCGGAAAUGAGAGAGCGGCGUACGGGUGCGUAACACGUGUGCAACCUGCCUUUAUCUGGGGGAUAGCCUUUCGAAAGGAAGAUUAAUACUCCAUAAUAUAUUGAACGGCAUCGUUUAAUAUUGAAAGCUCCGGCGGAUAGAGAUGGGCACGCGCAAGAUUAGCUAGUUGGUGAGGUAACGGCUCACCAAGGCGAUGAUCUUUAGGGGGCCUGAGAGGGUGAUCCCCCACACUGGUACUGAGACACGGACCAGACUCCUACGGGAGGCAGCAGUGAGGAAUAUUGGUCAAUGGGUGCAAGCCUGAACCAGCCAUCCCGCGUGAAGGACGACUGCCCUAUGGGUUGUAAACUUCUUUUGUCAGGGAAUAAACCUCUGGAUUCACUCCGGAGCUGAAGGUACCUGAAGAAUAAGCACCGGCUAACUCCGUGCCAGCAGCCGCGGUAAGAC